rnacentral:rRNA from 1 species
CCUACGGGUGGCAGCAGUGGGGAAUCUUCCACAAUGGACGAAAGUCUGAUGGAGCAACGCCGCGUGAGCGAUGAAGGAUUUCGGUCUGUAAAACUCUGUUGUUCAUGACGAACGUCUCCUAGGUGAAUAAUCUAGGGGAGUGACGGUAGUGAACGAGGAAGCCACGGCUAACUACGUGCCAGCAGCCGCGGUAAUACGUAGGUGGCAAGCGUUGUCCGGAAUUAUUGGGCGUAAAGAGCAUGUAGGCGGCUUUUUAAGUCGGCCGUGAAAAUGCGGGGCUUAACCCCGUAUUGCGGUCGAAACUGGAGGGCUUGAGUGCAGGAGAGGAAAGGGGAAUUCCCAGUGUAGCGGUGAAAUGCGUAGAUAUUGGGAGGAACACCAGUGGCGAAGGCGCCUUUCUGGACUGUGUCUGACGCUGAGAUGCGAAAGCCAGGGUA